rnacentral:miRNA from 4 species
CACCCGUACAUAUGUUUCCGUGCU